rnacentral:rRNA from 1 species
GUGGGGAAUAUUGGACAAUGGGCGAAAGCCUGAUCCAGCCAUGCCGAGUGUGUGAAGAAGGUCUUCGGAUUGUAAAGCACUUUAAGUUGGGAGGAAGGGCAGUAAGUUAAUACCUUGCUGUUUUGACGUUACCGACAGAAUAAGCACCGGCUAACUUCGUGCCAGCAGCCGCGGUAAUACGAAGGGUGCAAGCGUUAAUCGGAAUUACUGGGCGUAAAGCGCGCGUAGGUGGUUUUGUAAGUUGGAGGUGAAAUCCCCAGGCUCAACCUGGGAACUGCCUCCAAAACUGCAUGACUAGAGUACGGUAGAGGGUAGUGGAAUUUCCUGUGUAGCGGUGAAAUGCGUAGAUAUAGGAAGGAACACCAGUGGCGAAGGCGACUACCUGGACUGAUACUGACACUGAGGUGCGAAAGCGUGGGGAGCAAACAGGAUUAGAUACCCGAGUAGUCC